UGAGUAACACGUGACUAGCCUACCUUCGAGUGGGGGAUAACCUCGGGAAACCGAGGCUAAUACCGCAUAACAUCGCAAGAUCAAAGCAGCAAUGCGCUGGAAGAGGGGGUCGCGGCUGAUUAGCUAGUUGGCGGGGUAACGGCCCACCAAGGCGAAGAUCGGUAUCCGGCCUGAGAGGGCGCACGGACACACUGGAACUGAAACACGGUCCAGACUCCUACGGGAGGCAGCAGUGGGGAAUUUUGCGCAAUGGGGGAAACCCUGACGCAGCAACGCCGCGUGGAGGAUGAAGCCCCUUGGGGCGUAAACUCCUUUCGACCAAGACGAUAAUGACGGUACUGGUGGAUGAAGCACCGGCUAACUCUGUGCCAGCAGCCGCGGUAAUACAGAGGGUGCGAGCGUUGUUCGGAAUUAUUGGGCGUAAAGGGCGCGUAGGCGGUGCCACAAGUCACUUGUGAAAUCCCCGGGCUUAACCCGGGGCCUGCAGGCGAAACUGUGGUGCUGGAGUAUGGGAGAGGUGCGUGGAAUUCCCGGUGUAGCGGUGAAAUGCGUAGAUAUCGGGAGGAACACCUGUGGCGAAAGCGGCGCACUGGACCAUAACUGACGCUGAGGCGCGAAAGCUUGGGGAGCAAACAGGAUUAGAUACCCUGGUAGUCCUAGCCCUAAACGAUGAUUGCUUGGUGUAGCAGGUACCCAAUCCUGCUGUGCCGCAGCUAACGCGAUAAGCAAUCCGCCUGGGGAGUACGGUCGCA
rnacentral:rRNA from 1 species